GGGUUGUGAGGUUAAGCGACUAAGCGUACACGGUGGAUGCCCUGGCAGUCAGAGGCGAUGAAGGACGUGCUAAUCUGCGAAAAGCGCCGGCGAGGUGAUAUGAACCCUUGACCCGGAUGUCCGAAUGGGGAAACCCAGUGCAAUUCGUUGCACUAUCGUUAACUGAAUACAUAGGUUAACGAGGCGAACCGGGGGAACUGAAACAUCUAAGUACCCCGAGGAAAAGAAAUCAACCGAGAUUCCCCCAGUAGCGGCGAGCGAACGGGGAGCAGCCCGGAGUCUGAAUCAGCUUGUGUGUUAGUGGAACGGUCUGGAAAGUCCGACGGUACAGGGUGAUAGUCCCGUACACGAAAACACACUUGCUGUGAACUCGAAGAGUAGGGCGGGACACGUGGUAUCCUGUCUGAAUAUGGGGGGACCAUCCUCCAAGGCUAAAUACUCCUGACUGACCGAUAGUGAACCAGUACCGUGAGGGAAAGGCGAAAAGAACCCCGGCGAGGGGAGUGAAAAAGAACCUGAAACCGUGUACGUACAAGCAGUGGGAGCACCUUCGGGUGUGACUGCGUACCUUUUGUAUAAUGGGUCAGCGACUUAUAUUCUGUAGCAAGGUUAACCGUAUAGGGGAGCCGAAGGGAAACCGAGUCUUAACUGGGCGUUAAGUUGCAGGGUAUAGACCCGAAACCCGGUGAUCUAGCCAUGGGCAGGUUGAAGGUUGGGUAACACUAACUGGAGGACCGAACCGACUAAUGUUGAAAAAUUAGCGGAUGACCUGUGGCUGGGGGUGAAAGGCCAAUCAAACCGGGAGAUAGCUGGUUCUCCCCGAAAGCUAUUUAGGUAGCGCCUCGUGAACUCAUCUUCGGGGGUAGAGCACUGUUUCGGCUAGGGGGCCAUCCCGGCUUACCAACCCGAUGCAAACUACGAAUACCGAAGAAUGUUAUCACGGGAGACACACGGCGGGUGCUAACGUCCGUCGUGAAGAGGGAAACAACCCAGACCGCCAGCUAAGGUCCCAAAGUCAUGGUUAAGUGGGAAACGAUGUGGGAAGGCACAGACAGCCAGGAUGUUGGCUUAGAAGCAGCCAUCAUUUAAAGAAAGCGUAAUAGCUCACUGGUCGAGUCGGCCUGCGCGGAAGAUGUAACGGGGCUAAACCAUGCACCGAAGCUGCGGCAGCGACACUAUGUGUUGUUGGGUAGGGGAGCGUUCUGUAAGCCGUUGAAGGUGUGCUGUGAGGCAUGCUGGAGGUAUCAGAAGUGCGAAUGCUGACAUAAGUAACGAUAAAGCGGGUGAAAAGCCCGCUCGCCGGAAGACCAAGGGUUCCUGUCCAACGUUAAUCGGGGCAGGGUGAGUCGACCCCUAAGGCGAGGCCGAAAGGCGUAGUCGAUGGGAAACAGGUUAAUAUUCCUGUACUUGGUGUUACUGCGAAGGGGGGACGGAGAAGGCUAUGUCAGCCGGGCGACGGUUGUCCCGGUUUAAGCAUGUAGGCGGAGGUUCCAGGUAAAUCCGGUACCUUUUAACGCUGAGGUGUGAUGACGAGGCACUACGGUGCUGAAGUGAUAAAUGCCCUGCUUCCAGGAAAAGCCUCUAAGCAUCAGGUAACACGAAAUCGUACCCCAAACCGACACAGGUGGUCAGGUAGAGAAUACCAAGGCGCUUGAGAGAACUCGGGUGAAGGAACUAGGCAAAAUGGUGCCGUAACUUCGGGAGAAGGCACGCUGAUA
rnacentral:rRNA from 1 species